rnacentral:rRNA from 1 species
CCUACGGGCGACAGCAGUGAGGAAUAUUGGUCAAUGGGCGCAAGCCUGAACCAGCCAAGUCGCGUGAGGGAUGACGGUCCUAUGGAUUGUAAACCUCUUUUGUCGGGGAGCAAGGCCCGCCACGUGUGGCGGGACGGAGAGUACCCGCAGAAAAAGCAUCGGCUAACUCCGUGCCAGCAGCCGCGGUAAUACGGAGGAUGCGAGCGUUAUCCGGAUUUAUUGGGUUUAAAGGGAGCGUAGGCCGCAUGUCAAGCGUGCUGUGAAAUGUCCGGGCCCAACCCGGGCCUUGCAGCGCGAACUGGCGGGCUUGAGUCCGCGGAAAGCAGGCGGAAUUCGUCGUGUAGCGGUGAAAUGCUUAGAUAUGACGAAGAACCCCGAUUGCGAAGGCAGCUUGCUGCAGCGGAACUGACGCUGAUGCUCGAAAGCGCGGGUAUCGAACAGGAUUAGAUACCCUAGUAGUC